rnacentral:lncRNA from 1 species
UUAGGACCUCCAGUUUGGAUUGCAUCUCACUAAUUGAUUUUUAACUUCAGCCUGAUUAGACCAAAAUUCUUCAGUCAUGAAGUCUCUUGUGUCCUUUAUGCUUUUUUCCAGAGCCACCAGUAGCUUUGUAAUUGUGCUUCUAUAUUGGCUUUCUGACAUAGACUUGUAAUCCAAAUUCUGUAACUCUGGGAGAGAGUACUGUUUCUGAUUAUUUGUUUUGUGGUGAGUUCUUUCUAGUCAUUUUGUUCAGUGCAGAGAGGCUAAAAGUGAGUUGUACUGGAAAAAGGAAGAAGAAGAAGAAAAAACAAGGCGGGGUAUCCUCUGGUUCUAUAUACUGUAAUUCCUCGACUUCCCCUGGAGCUUUCCAGCUCUACUUGGUCAAGUACUUGCCCUUCCCCCGUCCUUCCAGCUGGUCUCUGGGGGAGGGGCCUGCUGUGCUGAUUCUCAGGUGUGUGCACCUGGGGGAGCUUCCCCGCUCCCUGCCGGUGCACGGCUCAGUGGGAGCUGUUUAUCCUGGGAGGCCCCUGUUCCCUGGCAACCCUGACCCUCCAAGGCACAGGGUGACACCAGGAGGAACAAGAGUGGCGACGGGCAGCUCUCCAGCCCCGGCGUCAGCUCCCGCAGUAACUACCGCAGCUCCCAGUCUGCACCGCCUGGAUGCUCUGGGGGCGGAAAGCGCUGAUCUGCACAGCUCGGGGGCACCCGGUGGCAGGAGCGUCCUCGCUGUCCUGGGCCCUCCCCGUCUCCGCCUGUCCGGGGGGAGCACAGGAUCCUGGGCUGUGUCCCUCAGCACCCUAGUCUCCGGGACCUGCGCUGCUGGAAUUGCGCUCCCCGGGCGCGCAGGCCCUUCUGCGUGGAGCUGCCGCCUGAGCUGCUCCGGAGGCCCCGCCAGGCUCUGUGCCCCUGGGGUGUGCGGCGCUCUCCCCGGGGCGCACUUCCUUUGUUAGGACCCCGGGAAUCUGGGGGCCCCUCUGCCCCUCCUGGGAUCCUGCCCGAGUUCCCUGCGAGUGCCUUUC